ACCAUACUUAUUAUUGUUCAUGUAAUUAUUGAAAAUGAAAUUUGAUCAUUCUCAGUCUUUGUAGUAUAGAGGUAAUCUUAUGACAAGUAAUAAUGAUGCCUGACUUGUAUGUCUUCUUUGCAGCCUGGUAAUAAUCAGCAUUCUACACCUAGUCCAACCAUAGCUGUUGCCAUGGGAGGAGGUCCAUUACCCUCAGGUGGAACAGUAGUGUAGCCUCAAUGAGUGGUAUUAAGUACUGCAAACUCCUGGACAACUGCUACAAAAUUGUGGCCAUCCCAGCCUCCUGUUUGAGGAGCCUCGCAUAGUGUGGGAACAACUGGUAUAGAACAUGUGGCAGGCACCUGAUACACACCUAAUACACAUAAGUUGUUGAACUACAGUCUAGAAAAAGGAUGAUGUUUUAUGGUAUUGUAAAUUUUAUUAUUUACUACUGUAUUACCCAGAUAUAUAUUAAAAAGGAUUUUCACCCUAACAUUGUCCUGGAAUUCUUCAAAUCUGAAUGUGAUAAUAAAUGUACAAUACUGUCUUAUCCAUCAGUUGACAUGAUUAGGUCAGUUGCAAAUGCUAUCACAGGAAGAGCAGUAUUCUUAGCAAAUGGAAAACUAAGAAUGUCUAGCGAAAAACUUUCUUUGGAACUGUUUUUUCUAAUGACAAGCUGUGGUUAAAAGGAGUUGUUGUGAUUGCCUAUGAUUUGCGGCUUAAAUGGAAGGGCACAUAUGUAUUAUACUUGUAAGGGUUAUACAAUGCUUCUUCAUAUUUCUGUGUAUAUAGUCUUGCUUUAAAUAGGUGUACAGUCAAGUUUCCUUUGUAAAUCAAUUGAGUGAUAAAUUAUGAAUAAUAUUAUUAACUACUAUUCAAAGACUAUUUCUCUGUAUCAUAUAUUUGGAUAGACAAAUAAAUUGUUGAGAAUUUAUA